rnacentral:rRNA from 1 species
AACGAACGCUGGCGGCAUGCCUAAUACAUGCCAGUCGAACGAAACCACCGGGACUUUGCGCGCCUGGGUUUGUAACGCGACGGAACCUGCCCAUGUGUUUGGCCUAACUCCCCGACAGGGGUGCUAUUAGGGGACAAUAUCUACUGACCAAAGAUUUUUUGACCUUGGUUGUGCACGCGUUAGAGUAGCUCGUUGGUAAGGUAAUAGCAUAACACGGCAUCCAUGCAUAGCUGGUUAGAGUGGGGGCUUAGCAACACUGGGAGUGAGACACGGCCCAGACACCUACGGGAGGACGCAGUAGGGAAUCUUACGCAAUGGGGGAAAGCCGGACGGAGCAACGCCGCGGGAGUGAUGAAGGUCUUCGGAUCGUAAAACGCUGUUAUUAGUGAAGAACAAAUGUGUAAUUAACUGGGCACAUAUUGACGGUACCUAAUCAGAAAGCCCCGGCUAACUACGUG